rnacentral:rRNA from 1 species
AUUCCAUGCAGUCGACGGCAGCAUAGGUGCUUGCACCUGAUGGCGAGUGGCGAACGGGUGAGUAAUGCAUCGGAACGUGCCCAGUCGUGGGGGAUAACGCAGCGAAAGCUGUGCUAAUACCGCAUACGAUCUAUGGAUGAAAGCGGGGGACCUUCGGGCCUCGCGCGAUUGGAGCGGCCGAUGUUAGAUUAGGUAGUUGGUGGGGUAAAGGCUCACCAAGCCGACGAUCUAUAGCUGGUCUGAGAGGACGACCAGCCACACUGGAACUGAGACACGGUCCAGACUCCUACGGGAGGCAGCAGUGGGGAAUUUUGGACAAUGGGCGAAAGCCUGAUCCAGCAAUACCGCGUGCAGGAAGAAGGCCUUCGGGUUGUAAACUGCUUUUGUACGGAACGAAACGGCGUGCUCUAAUAAAGUGCGCUAAUGACGGUACCGUAAGAAUAAGCACCGGCUAACUACGUGCCAGCCGCCCGGGGUU